CACACUAUCAUUAACUGAAUCCAUAGGUUAAUGAGGCGAACCGGGGGAACUGAAACAUCUAAGUACCCCGAGGAAAAGAAAUCAACCGAGAUUCCCCCAGUAGCGGCGAGCGAACGGGGAGCAGCCCAGAGCCUGAAUCAGUGUGUGUGUUAGUGGAAGCGUCUGGAAAGGCGCGCGAUACAGGGUGACAGCCCCGUACACAAAAAUGCACAUGCUGUGAGCUCGAUGAGUAGGGCGGGACACGUGGUAUCCUGUCUGAAUAUGGGGGGACCAUCCUCCAAGGCUAAAUACUCCUGACUGACCGAUAGUGAACCAGUACCGUGAGGGAAAGGCGAAAAGAACCCCGGCGAGGGGAGUGAAAAAGAACCUGAAACCGUGUACGUACAAGCAGUGGGAGCACGCUUCGGCGUGUGACUGCGUACCUUUUGUAUAAUGGGUCAGCGACUUAUAUUCUGUAGCAAGGUUAACCGAAUAGGGGAGCCGAAGGGAAACCGAGUCUUAACUGGGCGUUAAGUUGCAGGGUAUAGACCCGAAACCCGGUGAUCUAGCCAUGGGCAGGUUGAAGGUUGGGUAACACUAACUGGAGGACCGAACCGACUAAUGUUGAAAAAUUAGCGGAUGACUUGUGGCUGGGGGUGAAAGGCCAAUCAAACCGGGAGAUAGCUGGUUCUCCCCGAAAGCUAUUUAGGUAGCGCCUCGUGAAUUCAUCUCCGGGGGUAGAGCACUGUUUCGGCAAGGGGGUCAUCCCGACUUACCAACCCGAUGCAAACUGCGAAUACCGGAGAAUGUUAUCACGGGAGACACACGGCGGGUGCUAACGUCCGUCGUGAAGAGGGAAACAACCCAGACCGCCAGCUAAGGUCCCAAAGUCAUGGUUAAGUGGGAAACGAUGUGGGAAGGCCCAGACAGCCAGGAUGUUGGCUUAGAAGCAGCCAUCAUUUAAAGAAAGCGUAAUAGCUCACUGGUCGAGUCGGCCUGCGCGGAAGAUGUAACGGGGCUAAACCAUGCACCGAAGCUGCGGCAGCGACGCUUAUGCGUUGUUGGGUAGGGGAGCGUUCUGUAAGCCUGUGAAGGUGUGCUGUGAGGCAUGCUGGAGGUAUCAGAAGUGCGAAUGCUGACAUAAGUAACGAUAAAGCGGGUGAAAAGCCCGCUCGCCGGAAGACCAAGGGUUCCUGUCCAACGUUAAUCGGGGCAGGGUGAGUCGACCCCUAAGGCGAGGCCGAAAGGCGUAGUCGAUGGGAAACAGGUUAAUAUUCCUGUACUUGGUGUUACUGCGAAGGGGGGACGGAGAAGGCUAUGUUGGCCGGGCGACGGUUGUCCCGGUUUAAGCGUGUAGGCUGGUUUUCCAGGCAAAUCCGGAAAAUCAAGGCUGAGGCGUGAUGACGAGGCACUACGGUGCUGAAGCAACAAAUGCCCUGCUUCCAGGAAAAGCCUCUAAGCAUCAGGUAACAUCAAAUCGUACCCCAAACCGACACAGGUGGUCAGGUAGAGAAUACCAAGGCGCUUGAGAGAACUCGGGUGAAGGAACUAGGCAAAAUGGUGCCGUAACUUCGGGAGAAGGCACGCUGAUAUGUAGGUGAGGUCCCUCGCGGAUGGAGCUGAAAUCAGUCGAAGAUACCAGCUGGCUGCAACUGUUUAUUAAAAACACAGCACUGUGCAAACACGAAAGUGGACGUAUACGGUGUGACGCCUGCCCGGUGCCGGAAGGUUAAUUGAUGGGGUUAGCGGUAACGCGAAGCUCUUGAUCGAAGCCCCGGUAAACGGCGGCCGUAACUAUAACGGUCCUAAGGUAGCGAAAUUCCUUGUCGGGUAAGUUCCGACCUGCACGAAUGGCGUAAUGAUGGCCAGGCUGUCUCCACCCGAGACUCAGUGAAAUUGAACUCGCUGUGAAGAUGCAGUGUACCCGCGGCAAGACGGAAAGACCCCGUGAACCUUUACUAUAGCUUGACACUGAACAUUGAGCCUUGAUGUGUAGGAUAGGUGGGAGGCUUUGAAGUGUGGACGCCAGUCUGCAUGGAGCCGACCUUGAAAUACCACCCUUUAAUGUUUGAUGUUCUAACGUUGACCCGUAAUCCGGGUUGCGGACAGUGUCUGGUGGGUAGUUUGACUGGGGCGGUCUCCUCCUAAAGAGUAACGGAGGAGCACGAAGGUUGGCUAAUCCUGGUCGGACAUCAGGAGGUUAGUGCAAUGGCAUAAGCCAGCUUGACUGCGAGCGUGACGGCGCGAGCAGGUGCGAAAGCAGGUCAUAGUGAUCCGGUGGUUCUGAAUGGAAGGGCCAUCGCUCAACGGAUAAAAGGUACUCCGGGGAUAACAGGCUGAUACCGCCCAAGAGUUCAUAUCGACGGCGGUGUUUGGCACCUCGAUGUCGGCUCAUCACAUCCUGGGGCUGAAGUAGGUCCCAAGGGUAUGGCUGUUCGCCAUUUAAAGUGGUACGCGAGCUGGGUUUAGAACGUCGUGAGACAGUUCGGUCCCUAUCUGCCGUGGGCGCUGGAGAACUGAGGGGGGCUGCUCCUAGUACGAGAGGACCGGAGUGGACGCAUCACUGGUGUUCGGGUUGUCAUGCCAAUGGCACUGCCCGGUAGCUAAAUGCGGAAGAGAUAAGUGCUGAAAGCAUCUAAGCACGAAACUUGCCCCGAGAUGAGUUCUCCCUGACUCCUUGAGAGUCCUGAAGGAACGUUGAAGACGACGACGUUGAUAGGCCGGGUGUGUAAGCGCAGCGAUGCGUUGAGCUAACCGGUACUAAUGAACCGUGAGGCUUAACCUU
rnacentral:rRNA from 1 species